rnacentral:misc_RNA from 1 species
AAGUCGUAACAAGGUCUCCGUUGGUGAACCAGCGGAGGGAUCAUUACCGAUUGUUACCAAACAAACCACUGUGAACCGUCCCUUUAGCUGCUUCGGCGGGCGAUCCCAGGGCGGGAUCCCGGGCUCCUUACGGGGUGCUCGCCGGCGGCCACUUUCUAGCUCUGUUUCUAGCGGGCUUCUGAGUGUAAACCAAAAAUAAUCAAAACUUUCAACAACGGAUCUCUUGGCUCUG